GCGAUUGGGUUUUGAACCGCGGCCUAUUCCCUCUUUAUGCCGCGGUUAAGUGUAGAACCGCGACAGAUUCUCCUUCUGAAGGGAAAAAAAUAAAAAUCGCGAAACAGUUUCGUCUUCUUCGCGAAACAGUUUCAGACCUUCGUUUUGCUUCUUCUCCGUUAACGGCGACCCUGUUCUUCCAUUCUCUAUCAUUUUUCAUCGUUUAAACUGCAUUUUGUUCGGUGCAUUUGCCAUUUUUGACGUUGGGGAAGAUUUUUGACCGAUCAGAAUCGUCAUUUUCUACCCUGAGAUCGUGAACUGCAUUUUGUUGUGCCCAUUCCAGGUACUUCCUUUAUGCCCUCGUCAAGUUUUCCAUUAAGCCUCUAUGUUUGCUUUCGUUUCUUGAUGCAUAUGUUGUUGUGGCUUUGAUCAUUUUUGUCAAAUUUGUUGUGGUUUCGGUCGUUCUUUAAGAGGCAAAGUAUGUUAGCUUUUAUUUAAG
rnacentral:lncRNA from 1 species